rnacentral:rRNA from 1 species
ACCUACGGGAGGCAGCAGUAGGGAAUCUUCCACAAUGGGCGAAAGCCUGAUGGAGCAACGCCGCGUGGGUGAAGAAGGUCUUCGGAUCGUAAAACCCUGUUGUUAGAGAAGAAAGUGCGUGAGAGUAACUGUUCACGUUUCGACGGUAUCUAACCAGAAAGCCACGGCUAACUACGUGCCAGCAGCCGCGGUAAUACGCAGGUGGCAAGCGUUAUCCGGAUUUAUUGGGCGUAAAGAGAACGCAGGCGGUCUUUUAAGUCUGAUGUGAAAGCCUUCGGCUUAACCGGAGUAGUGCAUUGGAAACU